UUGAAACACCAGUUCCUGUACAAUCACUGAAGUUAAGCAAUAAUAAGCCUGGUCAGUUCUUAGAUGGGUGACCACAUGGGAAUACCAGGUGCUGUAA